rnacentral:sRNA from 1 species
UGACCCUUCUUAAGCCGAGGGUCACCUAGCCAACUGACGUUGUUAGUGAACCCUUAUUGUUCACACAAAAUAUAUGACCAAUCACCCUUUUGUGAUUGGUUUUUUUUUU